GUGCUCAUUUUGGCAGCACAUAUACUAAAAUUGGAACAAUACAGAGAAGAUUAGCAUAGCCCCUGUACAAG
rnacentral:snRNA from 1 species